rnacentral:rRNA from 1 species
CACGUAGGGUGCGAGCGUUGUCCGGAAUUAUUGGGCGUAAAGAGCUCGUAGGCGGUGUGUCGCGUCGGCCGUGAAAACCUGCAGCUCAACUGUGGGCUUGCGGUCGAUACGGGCAUCACUGGAGUUCGGCAGGGGAGACUGGAAUUCCUGGUGUAGCGGUGAAAUGCGCAGAUAUCGGGAGGAACACCGGUGGCGAAGGCGGUUCUCUGGGCCUUACCUGACGCUGAGGAGCGAAAGCGUGGGGAGCGAACAGG